AGUCAUUUAUAUAGUAUUUUGUAUUCAUCCCCUUAUUGCUUUGUCUAUUUUUAAAAUGUCUCUGAUCUUUCCUAAGGACUAUUUUUAGUUUGCCAAUAAAUGUUCUUGUACAAUUAGUACAAUUUCAUAAAGUCUGGUACAUAUCUCUAUGGAGACUAUAACCACAGAAUUUUCAAUUCCAUUUCAUGUACAACUUCUUAUCCAUCCAUUCCUCCUACCCUGCCUAGCUGACCAUCUGCAGCAUUUGUGCUCACCUGGGUUGUUGUUGUUUUGGAGAUGGUUCAAAUUUCGGUUUAAACCAGGAUUUCUUCUGGCAUCUCAUGCUGAACAUCAGAAAAUUUGUAUAUACAAGCCUGUUUUUAUGGUGAAUUAGUUCACGAUGUAGACAGAACUAAUUUCUAGUAAUAAUAAUGGUAGCAGUACUGGAAGCCAUCUGGUUUUAGAGGGUUACCUAAAUCUUUUCAGGUCACUGAGCUAAAUGCUCUUUAUUACCAUGCUGCUUGGAGAACUUUCCUCGGGUGAUCAUGAAAAAAUCAUGGCCAUUUGUACCAAAGAUGUUCAUGGCAGAGAGGUAUCAGCAAGCCUUCAAGCCCAGAGGGUGCGUGUUUGAAUCAGCUGUAUUUUGCAUUCACAGUUUGUUCUGCCUUCAGCAAUUCACAGUGUUUUGCUCUCCUUUCAGAGGCACGUGCACCUCCAGAGCAUCUCUUCUUCCUGUGGUGACUUUUUGUAUGUGCAGACAACUGAAAUAAUGCAUGUUUAUUUAAACCAAAGUGCUUACUCUAUGUACAACUUUAUUUCAGGCUCUCCACCUAGCAGUGAGUGGUGUUACUGCAGAAGCAGCUGGCACAGAGAAGACAGAGACUAUGGAAGAUUUAGGCUGUGCCCUUGGUAUGAUGGUGAAAAUUUUCAACUAUUCAGAAUACAUGGAUGAUGAGAUUUGUAUUUCUUGGUGAAAACACGACACUGAAAUCCAGAGUUGGAAUAUUUUUAUUACUAUGAUCCCUGGAUGUGCAGAACCUGUGCCAUGGUUGUCCCUGACAUUGAACUGGUCUCUGGAAUGGUGUUGGCUGCUGAAGGGUUUAUUGAUGCCUGUCUGUUAGCCAGGAAGUUCAUCACCUUCCAACCUCUCUGCAAGGAGCUGCUCCCUGAACAGGCGUGAUCAGUGACCUGUUUCCAUCUCUGGAUGUUCUGAGGAUGGGGAACCUACAGUCUGAGCAGAUGGUUAAACAAUCUACCCUGGAGCUGUACUUGCAGCCAGAAGAGAACUUUAUUCUCAAAGAACAUCGACACCUGCUGUAUGUUCGUCCAAGGCAGCACGUCCUUACCUUUAUUGGAGUAUAUUGGAAAUAACCCAGCUAGUUCAAUGUUACUGAUCAGAGGAUUUAUAAAGGAUUUUCUACUCUUCUCUCCUAUUCCAUUAUCCUGACAGAAGGGUGAAAAACAGUAAGGUAUGCCUUGAGGUAUUAUGAACUCACAAUCAGCCUUCUAACAGAGUAUUUGUUUUCCUGCUGAGUAAAUCAGAAGACAAGCACUGAGGAUCAUGAACUUGUUCCUGUUAGGCUUUGGAAAAUCACAAUGAAUACUCUUCACUAAAACAGAAAUCCACAAGCAGCCAAGCUAUUUCUAUUCUGUGACUUAUACAACUAUUUCUUUGGAAGCAAUGUAUUGCUUUAGGAGACUGACUGUAUUUUUCUGAAUUCCAGCUGUACAACUGAUUGCAGAAUCCACUCUGCCAAAGCAGUGGCAAAAUUGUGGUAACUGUUCUGUGUCCUUGGGUUUCCACAGUCCUGCUGGACUGUGUGGCUGUCCGGCAGAAUAGGAUUUGUUCUCACUUGCUGAGGUAACUGCUUUGAUUCUUUUGCACUAACUCUUACCAUUUUCUGAGAGACCGUGUUGCUUGAUGCAACAUUAGCUUUGCUGAGGCAAAUCUGCCAAGAAAGUGCGAGCUUUAUUUUUUCCUAUUAAAGGGAAUAAGAAUGCAGAGAGGGAAAAAAUCUUGUGAAUAAUUGUGUCUCCGUGAUAAGAACUACAAGAGGAGAGGAGAGGUGCUCCCUGCAUGUCCUUUCUGUGUGUAAGGAUGUUCAGCUGGAGAAGCAGCCAGCAGUGUGUCACUCUGUGUUUGUUGGUGGAAUUGCAGGGAAUGGGAAGGGUAAGGUACCUGCCUGCCUAUGCAGCAUGUUUUCCAUCUCACCUUGUAAAGAAACUGCCAUGGCUCUUGCACAAAAAAUUCUUCAUGUUGCCUUUGCCUGAGGCUGCAGGGUAAUAACACACUGCUGAGGCCACUCGGUCAGCUGCAUGAUGAGCAAUAGAAAAUGCAAAUGUUGCAAGCAAAUUCUACAUUUUAUGUGCUGUUUGCAUGUCCCAAAGGACAGUUAAUCAUGGCAUGAAGUAAUGAACAUUCAAUUUGACAGAUAGACUAAGUAAUACUUUGUUCUGGAAGGAGAAGCAGGAUGUUUUAAUUAGACUCCUAGACAGACAUCAUGGAAUGUCCUGCCAAAACACUAGACAAAUAAUUCUAAUACAUAAUGCUUGCUUAUUUAUGCUACUAAAUGUUGGCAGCUGCAUAGAUUUUCUUCUCCAUUUAACACUUUCCAUUAGAAUUGAGUGCAGAAUAUGGCCAUUUCAGACUGGGAAUCUCCUUUUCUAUCCUUAGGCUUAAUGGAAAUUUGGGGCUAAACUAGCACAGAGACAAGAAUAAAUUAAUGUAAACUGUUGGCUGAGUACAGGGUUUCAGUCCAAGCUCCAGUUCAGAAAAAAGUGAACAAUUCCUACUAUAUGAAAAUGAUGCUACUAACAUUCAUCCUGCUCCUUCCUUUCAGGUCCUGAAAGUUCUUCAUCACAUGUAUGCAAACACAAAUUCCCAUUUGGAAUUGACUUUUAAUGCAGAAGUUCUGACAGCUGAUGAACUGUGUGGUUUUACACACCAGGAAACCUGAGAGUGGAAGGAUGGCAAGGAACACAUGUGUUCUUGCCAGAAUGUCAUUCUCCGUCCAAAAUGGACAAUACCAGAAUUCAGAGAAAAUAUAAGAGAUAGAAUUCUUCCGUUUUUCUGAGGUUUUGAUGCAGCAGGACAUGGGUGCAGAGCGCUGGUGGUUCUGGAAAGGCUGGAGGGCAGGGCAGGAUGCUGGUAGACAGAAGGUAUUGGCCUGCACAGUUCUAAUCCAGUGGCAUUGAAGGGCCUGUUACCUUCUCCCCAGACCCGCAGCACCUCCCUUGUAUCUCCUGUAUCAUGAACACUAAUGACCAACUCUCCUGUAAUCAAAACAGAUCAUUAUUACAUAAAAUGCAGUGAUUUUGUUGUAUUGAGUGUUCACUGAAUUUUUUGUUAUUUUAAAUAACUACCUAAUAAAAAAGCAAAGGAAGAAAACAUGGGUUUGAUGUUACAAAAGCUUCUUGUUUCAGUGAUGUGUUAUCUUCUGAAGUUUUAAUUGCAGUACAAUGUUGUUG